rnacentral:rRNA from 1 species
UACGUAGGGGGCAAGCGUUGCCCGGAUUUAUUGGGCGUAAAGAGCGUGUAGGCGGCUUGGAAGGUCAGCUGUGAAAACUCGAGGCUCAACCUCGAGACGUCGGUUGAAACCACCUGGCUAGAGUCCGGAAGAGGAGUGUGGAAUUCCCGGUGUAGCGGUGAAAUGCGCAGAUAUCGGGAAGAACACCCGUGGCGAAGGCGGCACUCUGGGACGGUACUGACGCUGAGACGCGAAAGCGUGGGGAGCGAACAGG